UGGGGAAUUUUGGGACAAUGGGCGAAAGCCUGAUCCAGCAAUGCCGCGUGUGUGAAGAAGGCCUUCGGGUUGUAAAGCACUUUUGUCCGGAAAGAAAUCCUUGGCUCUAAUACAGUCGGGGGAUGACGGUACCGGAAGAAUAAGCACCGGCUAACUACGUGCCAGCAGCCGCGGUAAUACGUAGGGUGCAAGCGUUAAUCGGAAUUACUGGACGUAAAGCGUGCGCAGGCGGUUUGCUAAGACCGAUGUGAAAUCCCCGGGCUCAACCUGGGAACUGCAUUGGUGACUGGCAGGCUAGAGUAUGGCAGAGGGGGGUAGAAUUCCACGUGUGAGCAGUGAAAUGCGUAGAGAUGUGGAGGAAUACCGAUGGCGAAGGCAGCCCCCUGGG
rnacentral:rRNA from 1 species